ensembl:lncRNA
CCCCUCCGCCGCCCCAGCCAGUCGCAGUGUACGGGCUUCUCAUUGCAGUGGCUUCUCUUGCUGAGGAGCACAGGCUCUAGAGCACUCGGGCUUUAGUAGUUGUAACACAUGGGCUCAGUAGUUGCAGUUCCUGGGUUCUAGAGCACAGGCUCAACAGUUGUGGUGCCCAGGCUUGAUUGCCCCAUGGCAUGUGGGAUCUUCCCAGAUCAAGGAUGGAAUCCAUGUCUCCUGCAUUGGCACGUGGCUUCUUUACCACUGAACCACCAGGGAAGCCCUAAAGCUUUCUGAUUGGCGCAAACCACCCAGCAGGAGGACGCUUACUGGAGCCUGACUAGAAAGAGUAACAAUUUUAUGUGCUCAGCCCUAGGUUCGGACUAAGGAGACCUGGUAGUGAUUCGUAUAUCUGUUGGUUUUGGACGAGGCCUGAGAAUCUACAUUUCUUGCAAGUUCCUAGGUGAUGCUGAAGAUGCAUGUCUGUGGACCACACUGCAGGGAAUUGGUGACCAUUUCAAAAUGCACAUCCUAAGAGCAAUGAAACACAGAAAAAGAAACCAAAAUGGGAAGGGACACAGGAGAGGCAAAAGUUGUUGAAGAUGAAAGUGAUCCAGCAAGAGACUAACGUGACAGGAUAAGUCUUCAAGAAAGAUAUCUGCAAAGAAGAUGUCUGUCCCCCCUUAUCACAGGCACAGGAGAUGAACAGAACUAGAGCUCGAGGAAACUGCUUAACUUUUCCCAAGGUGCCCCAUUAUGUGACCACUGGACCCAGCUUUUCUACAAUGAGACUACCUGAAUGUCUUACUGGUGACCACUUAAGCUCUUCUGAUUCGUGCUGGCUAAUUUUAUAGGACCGUUUUUACUAAAUAUUUCCAACACACUAUAUCCUGUUGUUUAGAAGACCAUAUUUUAGAAGACUCAAAUCUUGGUUUUUUAUUAGGUCACUAUCUACACCCUUCUCAGA